rnacentral:tRNA from 1 species
GACCCCGUAGCUCACCAGGAUAGAGCGACAGAUUCCUAAUCUGUAGGUAGCAGGUUCGAGUCCCGCCGGGGUCACCA